GCAGUUGAGGGUGUCAGUUGGUGCUGAAGAAAUAAAUACACCACAUAGGAUGGUACAAGAGGAAUCAUUGUUACUCCUGUUCGGCUCCUGAGAAAAUAAAAAAAGAGCAGCAGUCAGCAUCACAGUCACAGAGAUUCCCCUUUCCCUGCACUGGUGGCAUAUAGCCAGGAAACUGAAGUGUUUAGAAUAAUGGUAGAUAACAGAGUGGGACUCAGUGAUCUGAUAUACAGGGUACAAGAUGGUGUUCCUUUAUGACAAUGGAAUUCAUUGCCUCUAUGACGUCUAAGUUAGAGAGGAAUACUUCACGGUGAGCAAAAAGGGUGUAU